CGAGAAGAUGGCGGGCGGUUGUGUGGCGGAGCGUGGGGUUGUCUUGUUGUUCCAGUCUGGGCUGCAGCUAUGAGGGAGGGGCAGAUGUGGAAGUUAAAGCACGGAAAGAUGAAACUAUUUGUUCCAAGUCGUCCAAAAGAGCAGCAACAGGGAGAAAAAUGGAAUGGAGUCCUUCAGUUCUCACUCUGUUGCAUCACACUAUCUUCCUAUCUUGAUGAAUAUGUCUGAAAUUUACUUUUCACAGUCUUACAGAUUUAUUCUGAUUCCUAACCUACUAGAAGAAGUUUUGGUUUUCCAGAGACACGUGCUAUGGAAGGCUAUCAAAAGCAGUGCAUCUCAAAUGUAAGUUUUAUAAAUGCCUUGAGCCUGAAAACAAAUUAGAAAACAAAUAUCUUACAGA